rnacentral:rRNA from 1 species
AUGCCCGGCUCCACCGUGCUACUGAUCGCCGCCUCCAUGGCCGCGCUCCUCGUCAUCUCCCUCUUCACCUUCCUCUGCUCCAACAGACGCGAGGCGCACCACGCGCCACCGUCGCUAUCCCAGCGGAGCGUCGUCGAUGUCGAGCUCGGUCACGGGUGCGUGGCCACAUGGAUUGACGAGGCCGUCCUGGCCGCGUACACGACCAUGGUGUACUCCUCGGCGGCGAGGCGGCGGGACGAAGGCCAGAUGGCUGCUGCCGAAGGGUUGGCCGACGGUGACCAGCCGCCCGAUGACACGGACACGCACACGACCUGCGUGGUGUGCCUGGCGGAGUACGCUGAUGGCGACGAGCUCCGGCGGCUGCCCGGCUGUAAGCACGCGUUCCACCGGCUGUGCGUCGACGAGUGGCUCCGGCGACGGCCGAGCUGCCCGCUCUGCCGCACGUCGCUGCCUGCGGGCACCACCGAUGACUCCUGA